ensembl:misc_RNA Y_RNA Y RNA
GGCUGGUCUGAAUGCAGUGGUGUUUACAACUAAUUGAUCACAACCAGUUACAGAUUCCUUUGUUCCUUCUCCACUCCCACUGCUUGCUUCACUUGACCAAAAA